rnacentral:rRNA from 1 species
AGCAGCCGCGGUAAUUCCAGCUCCAAUAGCGUAUAUUAAAGUUGUUGCAGUUAAAAAGCUCGUAGUUGAAUUUCGGGAUCAUCAGGUUGGUCGUGCCUCUGGUAUGUACUGAUUUCGAUGGUUCCUCCUUCUUGAAGAACCGUAAUGCCAUUAAUUUGGUGCUGCGGGGAAACAGGACUGUUACUUUGAAAAAAUUAGAGUGUUUAAAGCAGGCAAUCGCUUGAAUACAUUAGCAUGGAAUAAUGAAAUAGGACGUUCGAUCCUAUUUUGUUGGUUUCUAGGAUUGACGUAAUGAUUAAUAGGGAUAGUUGGGGGCAUUAGUAUCCAAUUGUCAGAGGUGAAAUUCUUGGAUUUACUGAAGACUAACUACUGCGAAAGCAUUUGCCAAGGAUGGUUUCAUUAAUCAAGAACGAAAGUUAGGGGAUCGAAGACGAUCAGAUACCGUCGUAGUCUUAACCAUAAGCUAUGCCGACUAGGGAUCGGAUGAUGUUAAUUUUUAAUGACUCAUUC